rnacentral:rRNA from 1 species
AUGAACGCUGGCGGCGUGCCUAAUACAUGCAAGUCGAGCGAACAGACGAGGAGCUUGCUCCUCUGACGUUAGCGGCGGACGGGUGAGUAACACGUGGAUAACCUACCUAUAAGACUGGGAUAACUUCGGGAAACCGGAGCUAAUACCGGAUAAUAUAUUGAUCCGCAUGGUUCAAUAGUGAAAGACGGUUUUGCUGUCACUUAUAGAUGGAUCCGCGCCGCAUUAGCUAGUUGGUAAGGUAACGGCUUACCAAGGCAACGAUGCGUAGCCGACCUGAGAGGGUGAUCGGCCACACUGGAACUGAGACACGGUCCAGACUCCUACGGGAGGCAGCAGUAGGGAAUCUUCCGCAAUGGGCGAAAGCUUGACGGAGCAACGCCGCGUGAGUGAUGAAGGUCUUCGGAUCGUAAAACUCUGUUAUUAGGGAAGAACAAAUGUGUAAGUAACUAUGCACGUCUUGACGGUACCUAACCAGAAAGCCACGGCUAACUACGUG